UCGGACUGGCUGCUUAGUUAGGUUUCCUAACUUUGCAGCUGGGAAGUUAUUUAAACCCUCCCAUUUAGAGGAAGGAGAAGUCGUAACAAGGUUUCCGUACUUGAGUUCAUUUGCGGAUAAAAGGGCCAGUUAAAAGCUGCUAAGCCCUAGUGGACCCGCCACACGCACACUUCCCUAGCGUGGCGGGGCUGCGACACUGUCAAAUUGCCGGAAAAUCUCGCAAGUCGGCGGUACCGCCUGCAGUUGGAAACAGCUCAGCAGGCACCACGGUGAAAGUCGUGGGUAUGGUAACAAUCCUCCGAACAGAGACAAUCGGCAGCCAAGCCCUAAGGGUGUAUUCCAUACGCCUAUGGGUGCAGUUCACAGACUAAAUGGCAGUGGGUGCUCCUCAGCGAGGAGUGCUUAAGAUAUAGUCGGCCCCCACCGAGAGGUGGUCUCUGAGAGGAAGGGCUAGGGCCCCGAGAGCUCAGAGAGGUUGCAGAUAAUAGAGCGCGCCGCGAGGCGUCGACUCGGCCGUCCCACCAAAGACGGCCCUGCAGCCGGAACCAGUGAGGUGAACCUGCGGAAGGAUCAUUGAAUCCAUCCACAUCCACUCGCGAAUUACGUAGUACCCCCCUUGCGGACCUUCAUGGAAUGCUCGGGCGGCUGUCUUUCGGGGCAGUCGGGCUCCAUCUCUCCGGAGAUGGGGUCGGCAACCAACCUACACACCCAACCAAACCGUCUGUCUGAAGUCAACUCGACCUAGCACUGCUAGUCGAACAACAAAGACAACUCUCAACAACGGAUAUCUAGGCUCUCGCAACGAUGAAGAACGCAGCGAAAUGCGAUACGUAGUGUGAAUUGCAGAAUUCCGUGAAUCAUCGAAUCUUUGAACGCAUAUUGCGGUCGAGGCUUCGGCCGAGACCAUGUCUGCCUCAGCGUCGGUGUGACCCCCACAUCCACCCCCCUUCGGGGCGGGAUCCGGAUGGAUCUGGUCUCCCCACUGCCCGCCAGUGGGUUGGCCGAAAUUCAGAGGUUUGAGCUUGGACCUGUAUGGCACCAGCAAGGUAGGUAGCUCGACUACUCCAGCUGAUGCUUUGGGAACUGGCCCGAGCCCGCAGGAAAACACACCACUCUUUCGACCUGAGAUCAGGCAAGG
rnacentral:rRNA from 1 species